ACAGCACUAGGGGGCCCCUGCCACAUCAAAGAGAAGCAUCUAUGAGGGGUUACUGCCAUAAUGCCAACCUUCUUGCUGUGCUUUGAGAAACAAACCAAAUCCCACCUCCCCUUCAAAGAGCUCUAGUUGCUAUGAAAAGUAAUCCCACCCCCUACUAAAGUCCUGAGACUUAGGUGGCCCUGAGGCCAGUAGGAGGCUUUGGGGUAUCUCAAGAGCAGCCACACUUCUCCACCAAGAAAGUGUUCACAUAGUGCACACUCAUCUUGUGUUCGUCAUCCUGGACCAUCAGGGAGAAGAGUCUGACUGUGGUGGGACGGCAGGUCUGGAAGAGCCAGGUACAGCAGGCUGGCAUCAGCGACAUCAGUGGCUGGAAUCUUUGUCUCUGCCAAGAGGGUGGGCACCACCUCCAUCCAAUAUGUGAGUAAACAGUAGAUAUCCAAUAAUGACCCUCCCUCUGACUGGUAGGAUGAAAAGAUAAUGGGGAAAGAUCCCAGCAGGAAUCUUUGGAGGCCCCUUCUAUGGUCCUCGAACUCUAGAACAAGCUCAGUGGUAUGGGGGACAAUGGGCACCCAAGCCCACAACUUUCUCAAGGAAACCCCCAAGAAGGAAACUGCCUCAAAACAGAGAAGCCAGUAGCUGUGUAGGAACUAUGAGCCUGUAGGGAAAGAAGAGGGGAAGCUCCAGGAGGCCACUAUCAUGGAAAGUCCCACCUCCCUUUCAGCUUCUUACUCCCCACUACCCAGCCUGGCAGGACAGGACAAAGACUUAGCAGUCUCAGCUU
rnacentral:lncRNA from 1 species